CAUCAGGAAGAGAACAAUGCACUAUAGCACCACCCACCUAAACAACUACUUUACCCAGCAGAGAUGAGACGUCAAUAAUCAGUAGAACUGCAACAAGGAUCAACUUAAAUUCAGUCAUGAAAUACAACGUCAUCAUUUCCAUCUUCUACAUAGCUUUUAAUAUCAUUCUGGUUUCAGGUUCCUCUCGCAGUGAUAACGUCCACCAGACUCCAGCUCAUAUGUACAAAAAUCCUGGAGAAGAAGCUAAAAUCUACUGUUCACACAGUAUAGACGGCUAUGAUAGAAUCCUCUGGUACAAACAGUCAAAAGGACAAAUUCAAUUUUUGGGAUAUAUGUACAAGACCAAUGAUAAUCCAGAGAAAGGACUUGAUGUGAAGAUGGAAGGAAACGCAGAUAAAAACCAGAACUGCACAUUAACAAUUAAAGACCUGGAUGUGAACAGCAGUGCAGUGUACUUCUGUGCUGCUAGUUACCACAGUGCUACAUCUCACUGCUCCUCAAUACAAAAACCUCCAUCUCUAACACAGCCUCCUGUUUUCCUUCCUCUCAUUAGGUGGCAGUAGCACAUCUCCAACCAGGCCUUAAGUCUCAACUAGUGGUGUGUGGAGCUAAUGGAGAAGAUGAUUGACACGUUGAGAGGAGGAGGAUCAACGGUGACUCCGCCCAUCUAAUGAACUCAUGAUGCUUUGCUGAUAGGAGGCUUGACUCAGAGAGGAGGUUGGAAAUAAUCAGUACAAGUGCAGAAGCACUGAAGGAAACAAUCAAUCACAACAAUAUAUUCAGUUUAACAUUUACAGGACACAACAUGUUGGUCUGGUUCUUAAGUGUCACUUUCAACACCAUUCUGGUU